rnacentral:rRNA from 1 species
UACGGAGGAUGCAAGCGUUAUCCGGAAUCAUUGGGCGUAAAGCGUCCGUAGGUGGCUUUUCAAGUCUGCCGUCAAGGACCGGGGCUUAACCCCAGAAAGGCGGUGGAAACUGAAUAGCUAGAGUGCAGUAGGGGUAGAGGGAAUUCCCGGUGUAGCGGUGAAAUGCGUAGAGAUCGGGAAGAAUACCCGUGGCGAAAGCGCUCUACUGGACUGCAACUGACACUCAGGGACGAAAGCUAGGGGAGCGAAUGGG